GACGAACGCUGGCGGCGUGCCUAAUACAUGCAAGUCGAACGCAGUGGGGACGGGUGAGUAACACGUGGGUAACCUCCCAUCAGAGGGGAUAACACUUGGAAACAGGUGCUAAACCGAUACUGAUGGAUGGUCCCGCGGGGCAUUAGCUAGUUGGUGGGGUAACGGCUCACCAAGGCCACGAUCCAUAGCCGAUCUGAGAGGGUGAUCAGCCACACUGGGACUGAGACACGGCCCAGACUCCUACGGGAGGCAGCAGUGGGGAAUAUUCGGCAAUGGACGAAAGUCUGACGGAGCAACGCCGCGGGAGUGAAGAAGGUCUUCGGAUCGUAAAACUCUUUUGUUAGAGAAGCGGUAUCUAACCAGAAAGCAACGGCUAACUACGUGCCAGCAGCCGCGGUAAUAC
rnacentral:rRNA from 1 species